AUACGUAGGUGGCGAGCGUUGUCCGGAAUUACUGGGCGUAAAGGGCGAGUAGGCGGCCUUCUAAGUCAGACGUGAAAUCCCCCGGCUUCACCUGGGAACUGCGUCUGAUACUGGGAGGCUUGAGUAUGGGAGAGGGAUGUAGAAUUCCAGGUGUAGCGGUGAAAUGCGUAGAUAUCUGGAGGAAUACCGGUGGCGAAGGCGGCAUCCUGGACCAUUACUGACGCUGAAUCGUGAAAGCUAGGGGAGCAAACGGGAUUAGAUACCCCGGUAGUCCUAGCCCUAAACGAUGAAUACUUGGUGUGGCGGGUAUCGAUCCCUGCCGUGCCGAAGCUAACGCAUUAAGUAUUCCGCCUGGGGAGUACGGUCGCAAGGCUGAAACUCAAAUGAAUUGGCGGGG
rnacentral:rRNA from 1 species